AACGUAAUGUGAGAUAUCAAAAAUGUACUAUUUGUGGUCUAAAGAGGACCCCUGGACUGGAGCCAAUGUAUUUUUGAAGAAGUUUCCACUUGAUCGUUUUCAAGAUAUAACAAAUUCAGAGAAUGUGCAAUGAAAUGAAAAUAUUUUAUCUAAAAAUGCUGAAUACAGCUUUCUCCCUUUGCCCUCUACUUCGCAGGCACCACAAGGACUUACUUUUGAAAAAACACUAGAUUCUACAUUAACUGAACGUGAGAAGAUCCUGCUGAGUCAUUUGACUCAAACUAAAUUAAGCUUAAAGCCUUUGGCAGUCGAAAUGCGAACUGUGAGGAAGACACUAAUAAAUUGUUUGUAGCUUAUAACAAUAUUAGCGGGGUCCGCACUGACAUGCCUAAUAGAAAUAAUAAUGAUGACAUUCAAGUUGUUGAUGAGAUAGUUUAUCCUGUUUUGUCUCUGCCCAAUGAAAUUGAUUUCUUUUUAUAUGAAAAUGAUUUAUGUAACUUUUUGGAGCAGCCAGUAGUAUAUGUUAGUGUUUAUUUAGCUGCAAAAUUAUUAGAUAGAACGAAAUGUCAGUAAUGUAAAGAUUCGUUAAAAGUUGAUAAACCAGUAGACGACUUAAACAAUUAUAUUAGUUUUAAAGAAUGGUGGAAAGAUUCGAGCUCAUUGUGCUUUCCUUCUACACCUUUAUGUCAUUUCAUAAACAAGAGCCAAAUUCAUUUCAAAGCUAUUAUAUCUCAGGACUUACAAAUUAAAAAUAUAAAGCAGUAGACUAGUUUGCAAUUAAGUAAUGAGCAUUUUAUAGAAAAAAACAAAUCAAUUAAUUCAUAAUCUUUGUUUAUUAUUCAUUAGAAAAUCAUGUAAAGACAAAAAUAUACAAUUAGAAUAAUGUGAUCAAGACAAAGCUUAGAUAACAACUUUUAAGAUUCUUGUUGAAUAUUUAUAUUGUCAGUACUAUAAAACAAUGUUUGUAGAAAACAUCCAUAUUGGCAGUUCUUCUUGACAUCUAAUGUCUUUGCAAUGUUUUUUGUUUUUCAAGUUUUUAAAUGUGUAUAUUUUAGCUUAGAACCAAAAA
rnacentral:misc_RNA from 1 species